CUCUAGGAUCUUCUAAGAUCCACAAAAUGCUCAUGAGAUCUAUA
rfam:Picea glauca, whole genome shotgun sequence.